rnacentral:rRNA from 1 species
CCUACGGGAGGCAGCAGUGGGGAAUCUUGCGCAAUGGGCGAAAGCCUGACGCAGCCAUGCCGCGUGAAUGAUGAAGGUCUUAGGAUUGUAAAGUUCUUUCGCUCGUGACGAUGAUGACGGUAACGAGAGAAGAAGCCCCGGCUAACUUCGUGCCAGCAGCCGCGGUAAUACGAAGGGGGCUAGCGUUGUUCGGAAUUACUGGGCGUAAAGCGCGCGUAGGCGGUCUUGCAAGCCAGAGGUGAAAUGCCUGAGCUCAACUUAGGAAUUGCCUUUGGGACUGUGAGGCUUCGAGGACUGGAGAGGUGAGUGGAAUUCCCAGUGUAGAGGUGAAAUUCGUAGAUAUUGGGAAGAACACCGGUGGCGAAGGCGGCUCACUGGCCAGUUUCUGACGCUAAAGCGCGAAAGCGUGGGGAUCAAACAGGAUUAGAUACCCUGGUAGUCCACGCUGUAAACGAUGAGUGCUAGGCGUCGGCACGCUUGCGUGUCGGUGCCGCNGCUACGCGUGAGCACNCCGCCGUGGGAGGUACGGUCGCGAGAGUAAACUACAACGAGUAGUAGACGNGNGAGAGCGACGACGACGACGACGGAGGAGGAGG